GAGUUAGUGUCUAUCAGGCAGUUAACUUGUACAAAGGACGGAGGAAGAUUAAAUCCAAGGGAGAGGCCGGCACAAAUUUAAAAGUACACCAGUUGGUUCUUUAUUGCUGCUGUGGAGUAUUGGCUGGUGUAGUUGGUGGGUUGCUUGGUCUUGGUGGAGGAUUCAUUUUGGGGCCACUUUUUCUGGAAUUGGGAGUCCCUGCACAGGUAAAUUUCAUGCUUGAGGGUUUUAUUCUUUCAUGACCAUUAAUUUGGUGUUAGAUGGUCAACUUUUAUGGAUCGACCUUAUGACAGUCAUUUUGGAUCAAAAGAAACAGAUUGUCUUUAUUUAAAAGAAAGAGAGCUCAUGUCAAUGUUGAAAUUGUUAUGUU
rnacentral:lncRNA from 1 species